rnacentral:rRNA from 1 species
AUGGCGCCGCUCCCCGCGCCCACCGCCGCCUCCGCCUUCCUCUUCCACGCCCCGCCGCGCGGCCACCACCACCACCACAAGCCUAAGCCCUCCUCCAGACCCACCACCACCCUCUGCUCCGCCGUGCCCUCCUCCACGCCGUCCCUCGCCGACCAGCUGGAGCCGCUCUCGCGCACGCUGCUCACCGACAAGCCCACCCCCGCCGCCGACCGCGCGCAGCGCCCCACCCCGGAGCCCACCUGGGUCAACCCCUCCAGGCCGCGCCCCACGGUGCUCUCCCUCCGCCGCCAGCGCCGCCGCCCGGCCGCCUCCCACCCCUCCUCGGCCCCGCUCCAGCCGCUGCUCCGCGACCUGCGCGCGCUCCCGGAGGACGCCGACCUGGCGCCCACCCUCAGCGCCUUCUUCCCGCUCCCGGGCUCCCCGCCCACCUCCUCCGACGCGCUGCUCCUCCUCAACUACCUCCACCCGUCCUGGCGCAAGACGCUCUCCCUCUUCGCCUACCUCCGGGGCCUCCCCGCCGACGCCGGCUUCACCGUCGACACCAUCCUCUUCAACGUCGCCCUCAAGUCGCUCCGCGCCGCGCGCCGCUGGGACGAGGCGGAGCGGCUGGCGCUCGACAUGGUCGACUCCGGCGUCCCGCUCGACAACAUCACCUACUCCACCCUCAUCACCGCCGCCCGCCGCUGCCGCCAGUUCGCCAAGGCCGUCGAGUGGUUCGAGCGCAUGUACUCCCCGCCCAGCGGCGUGCUCCCCGACGAGGUCACCUACUCCGCCGUCCUCGACGUCUACGCGCAGCUCCGCAUGAAGGAGGAGGUGCUGGCGCUCUUCGACCGCGCCCGCGGCAGCGGCUGGAAGCCCGACCACGUCGCCUUCGCCGUGCUCGCCAAGAUGUUCGGCGAGGCCGGCGACUAUGACGGCAUCCAGUUCGUCUUCAAGGAGAUGCGGGAGGUGGGCAUCAAGCCCAACAUCUUCGUCUACAACGCGCUGCUCGAGGCGCUCGGCAAGACCGGCAAGCCGGGCCUUGCCCGCAACCUGUUCGAGGAAAUGGCCGCCGAGGGCGUCGAGCCCAACGCGCGCACGCUCACCGCGGUGGCCAAGAUCUACGGCCGGGCGCGCUGGGGCCGCGACGCGCUCCAGCUCUGGGACCAGAUGCGCGACAAGAAGAUCCCCGCCGACAGCAUCCUCUGCAACACGCUGCUCAGCAUGUGCGCCGACGUGGGGCUGGUGGCCGAGGCCGAGCAGCUCUUCGAGGAGAUGAAGGACCCGGACCUCACCGACGUCCCCCAGCCGGACAAGUGGAGCUACACGGCCAUGAUCAACAUCUACGGGAGCAUCAAGGACGCCGACCGCGCGCUCCAGCUGUUUGUGGAAAUGCUCCAGAGCGGCAUAGAGGCCAACAUCAUGAGCUACACCAUCGUGAUCCAGUGCCUCGGCAAGGCGAACAGGAUACGGGACGCCGUGGAGGUGCUCGAGGCGGGGCUGGAGAGGGGCCUCAAGCCCGAUGACCGGCUAUGCGGGUGCCUGCUCUCCGUCGUCGCGCUAAGCAGCGGCGAGGAGACGGAGCUGGUGCUCGGAUGCCUCGAAAAGUUCAACGGAAACCUAGUCAAGCUGAUCAGGAUGCUCGGGGACGACCAGGUGGGCGCCGACGAGCUCAAGGAGCAGCUGAAGGCCGUGCUGAAUGCCGCGGAGACCGAGGUGCGCCGGCCCUACUGCAACUGCCUGAUCGACAUAUGCCAGAACCAUGGCCUCCCCGCCCGGAGGCCGAGGGAGCUCUUCCGGCUCGCCCAGGGCUACGGCCUCUACUCCAAGCUCCACAUCAGGAAGGAUGACGAGUGGCUGCUAGACCUGCGGUCGCUCUCGGUUGGCGCUGCUAAGACGGCGUUCGACGACUGGAUGGUGGCCCUCUCGGAGCGCGCUGCGCAGGGCCAGACCCUGCCACAGUCCUUCAACGUGUUCACCGGUUCCAGCACCCACAAGUUCGCGCAGGGGCUGGCCAGCGCCUUCGCCGCCCACCUCAAGGAGGCCGCGGCGCCGUUCCGCCCGAGCGAGUCCCAGGUCGGCAGCUUCGUCAGCUCCAGGGACGAGCUAGUCCCGUGGCUGCAGACGAGCAGCCCGUCGUCUCCGGUCGUCGCGGGAUGA